CGACAGACGCAGAAUAUCACAGAAAUGAUUUGGAGAUUUAUUUGAAGGUUUCAUUCUUUCCUUGAUAAUGCUUCACAAUUGACUUCUGAGCUUAUUCAUGGACAUGUUUUGUUGAAUAUCUGUCAGUCUAAAAUUAGUGAUCUCUCUUGCAGAUGGCCUUCUAAUUCUUCUUCAUGGAACAUGCUGCUAUGACAGGAUAAUUUUAGUAUCAUUCACACUGUUGAAGUUUAAGGUAUAGAAUUGUAUAUCUCAACUCAAGUACAGCCAUAGUUUCCAUAAUUUCAUAUUUUCAGAUAUUUUACUCAGCUGACAUUUUCUGUUUCGGAUUUUGGUGAUCAAAAUGCUUCCUCUAAUUGCACAUUCAACACAGCCAGCUUCUUAUGUCUUCACUCAAUUUGAAACAUCUCCCGAGUCGACCGGAGCAAUUU
rnacentral:lncRNA from 1 species